rnacentral:rRNA from 1 species
UACGGGGGGGGCAAGCGUUGUUCGGAAUUACUGGGCGUAAAGGGCUUGUAGGUGGCCAACUAAGUCAAACGUGAAAUCCCUCAGCUUAACUGGGGAACUGCGUCUGAUACUGGAUGGCUUGAGUUUGGGAGAGGGACGCGGAAUUCCAGGUGUAGCGGUGAAAUGCGUAGAUAUCGGGAGGAACACCUGUGGCGAAGGCGGCUUUCUGGGCCCUACCUGACGCUGAGACGCGAAAGCGUGGGGAGCGAACCGG